AACUUACCUACAACGUUGCUUCGGCGGGAACAGACGGCCCUGUAAAACGGGCCGCCCCCGCCAGAGGACCCCUAACUCUGUUUUUAUAAUGUUUUUCUGAGUAAACAAGCAAAUAAAUUAAAACUUUCAACAACGGAUCUCUUGGCUCUGGCAUCGAUGAAGAACGCAGCGAAAUGCGAUAAGUAAUGUGAAUUGCAGAAUUCAGUGAAUCAUCGAAUCUUUGAACGCACAUUGCGCCCGCCAGUAUUCUGGCGGGCAUGCCUGUUCGAGCGUCAUUACAACCCUCAGGCCUCCGGGCCUGGCGUUGGGGAUCGGCGGAGCCCCCCCGUGGGCACACGCCGUCCCCCAAAUACAGUGGCGGUCCCGCCGCAGCUUCCAUUGCGUAGUAGCUAACACCUCGCAACUGGAGAGCGGCGCGGCCACGCCGUAAAACACCCAACUUCUGAA
rnacentral:misc_RNA from 1 species